AGAGUUUGAUCCUGGCUCAGGACGAACGCUGGCGGCAUGCCUAACACAUGCAAGUCGAACGGACGAGGGGAGCUUGCUCCCUAAGUUAGUGGCGGACGGGUGAGUAACGCGUGGGCAACCUACCUUCUACUGGGGAAUAACAGACGGAAACGUCUGCUAAUACCGCAUAAUAUAGUUUCAGGGCAUCCUGUGAACUAUCAAAGAUUUUAUCGGUGGAAGAUGGGCCCGCGUCCGAUUAGCUAGUUGGUGAUGUAACGGACCACCAAGGCGACGAUCGGUAGCCGGACUGAGAGGUCGAACGGCCACAUUGGGACUGAGACACGGCCCAGACUCCUACGGGAGGCAGCAGUGGGGAAUAUUGCACAAUGGGCGCAAGCCUGAUGCAGCAAUGCCGCGUGAGGGAUGAAGGUUUUCGGAUUGUAAACCUCUUUGGGGGCUGAAAAACAAAAUGAUGGUAAGCCCUUAACAAGCCACGGCUAACUACGUGCCAGCAGCCGCGGUAAUACGUAGGGGGCAAGCGUUAUCCGGAUUUACUGGGUGUAAAGGGAGCGUAGACGGUAAACCAAGUCUGAAGUGAAAGCCCGGGGCUCAACCCCGGAACUGCUUUGGAAACUGGUUAACUAGAGUGCAGGAGAGGUAAGUGGAAUUCCAAGUGUAGCGGUGAAAUGCGUAGAGAUUUGGAGGAACACCAGUGGCGAAGGCGACUUUCUGGUCUGUAACUGACACUGAGGCGCGAAAGCGUGGGGAGCAAACAGGAUUAGAUACCCUGGUAGUCCACGCCGUAAACGAUGAGUGCUAAGUGUUAGAGGGUUUCCGCCCUUUAGUGCUGCAGCUAACGCAUUAAGCACUCCGCCUGGGGAGUACGACCGCAAGGUUGAAACUCAAAGGAAUUGACGGGGGCCCGCACAAGCGGUGGAGCAUGUGGUUUAAUUCGAAGCAACGCGAAGAACCUUACCAGGUCUUGACAUCCUUUGACCACCCUAGAGAUAGGGCUUUCCCUUCGGGGACAAAGUGACAGGUGGUGCAUGGUUGUCGACAGCUCGUGUCGUGAGAUGUUGGGUUAAGUCCCGCAACGAGCGCAACCCUCGUUCUAUGUUGCCAGCGGGUUAUGCCGGGGACUCAUAGGAGACUGCCGGGGUCAACUCGGAGGAAGGUGGGGACGACGUCAAAUCAUCAUGCCCCUUAUGUCUUGGGCUUCACGCAUGCUACAAUGGCCGGUACAAAGGGUUGCGAUACUGUGAGGUGGAGCUAAUCCCAAAAAGCCGGUCUCAGUUCGGAUUGAGGUCUGCAACUCGACCUCAUGAAGUUGGAGUCGCUAGUAAUCGCAGAUCAGCAACGCUGCGGUGAAUACGUUCCCGGGCCUUGCACUCACCGCCCGUCAA
rnacentral:rRNA from 1 species